UCCUUUAAUAGUACUGAAUAAUUCUAUACCCCUAUAGAACUUUUUAUGUUAAGACAAGUAACAAGAAUCAACUUUCUCUCUUAAUGUAAGUAUACAUCAAUUAACACACGAAAAAAUGUAGUAACACACUAGAAAAUCCUACAACAACCUCUGUUAACCUAACACUAGAACAUUCUUAGAAAGAUUAUAAAAAAAAGAAGGAACUCGGCAAACUUAGAUUCCGCCUGUUUACCAAAAACAUCGCCUCUUGCAUAAUAUAAGAGGUCCUGUCUGCCCAGUGACUCUGUUCAACGGCCACGGUAUCCUGACCGUGCAAAGGUAGCGUAAUCACUUGUUUUUUAAUUAAAGACCUGUAUGAAAGACCCCACGAGAAUCGCACUGUCUCCUCUCUUCAAUCAGUGAAAUUAAUCCUCUCGUGCAAAAGCGAGCAUCACCUUAUAAGACGAAAAGACCCUGUGGAGCUUAAAACAUCAAACACCUAUUUAAGUCACCCAACAUCCACACACUAAUAAUAGCAUGAUUGUAAGUUUUUGGUUGGGGUGACCAUGGAGAAAAACCAAACCUCCAAGAUGAACUAGAGAUUUCCUUAAUUUAGAGCUACAACUCUUUAUAUUAGCACACUAACACAAAUUGACCCUCCUUGAUCAACGAACCAAGUUACCCCAGGGAUAACAGCGCAAUCUACUUUGAGAGCACAUAUCGACAAGUGGGCUUACGACCUCGAUGUUGGAUCAGGG
rnacentral:rRNA from 1 species